GGUAAAACCCCGCUCCGGCGGCGGGCUCGUGCGUAAAUAACAUCUGUGUGUGGGCGGAUGGUGGGCAGCUCUGCUCGCAGGGACGGAGAGGAACCGCUCCGAGCCGCAGCGUUUGAAAUCGUAAACGUAGCCAGAGAAGUUUGGAAGGAACUCGGGGGAAUGGCUUCCAGAGAGUGCGAUUUGGGUAAGGAAGCCCUUCCUAGGAGAACGGUGAUCGUUUUUAGCAAGUUAGUGGAAAUGCAUUUGGAAGGAUUCGAGUCGGUGUCAAGCUUUCUUAUUUUUUUUUUAACGUAUCACCACCAAAUUUUGCCAGCUCGGGAGUCAAAGAAGUUAAAGGAUGAUAUUAAUGGAUAUCACCGUUGAAAAUAAUUCAGCAGUGACUCCCCCGCCCCCCGGGAAGUUGCCUGCUCGCGGGCAUUGUGUGAGAUAACAGCUCCGGACUCCUCUUUCGCUCUUUGUGAGCUCCGUUCCUUUGUGGGACUCCUCCAAAUCAAAGCCCGCUGUAGUUCGGGUGGGAAAACGCAUUUCUGUUACUGGGAAGUCGAGGAGGCUGGAAAUAUUUAAUAGGAAAACCCCACCACGGUAGCAUCUAAAAGCAAUAACUUUAAAAUCGAGGGGAAGGAAAAAAAAAAAAAAAAAGCUUUUAUUUGUUCCGUUUUACCUCUCCCGCUGAGCGUUCCGGAGAUGCGUUUACUGUUAAUUGCCGUUCGGCGAUUUUCAAAAGGUAACUGCAAAUUUAGAAAGCGUCAUUCAGAAAGACAUUUAAUGCUCUCGUAUUUGCUAACAGAAUAUAUCGCUAUUUAAAAGCCGUCUGAUGGAAAGGGAAGAUGGAAAAAAAAAAAUAGAGGGAGAGACUGCACGUUGCCCUUCUUUGUUGCUCUUAAUUUUGUGUUUGUGUGGAACGUGUUGAUGUAUUGCACGUAGGAAUUUUCUUCUUUUUUU
rnacentral:lncRNA from 1 species